rnacentral:sRNA from 1 species
CACCACCUGGCUCAUCUCAUCGGUAUCAUGAACCCUCACGAUGUCCGCUCCACCUGCAAUUGAAGCAGUAACAGUCGCCGCUGUACCCCAAAGUCUCUCGCUCGGCUUCUUAACACCCGUAACGCGCCCGAUGAACGCUUUCCGGCUCGUGCCCAACAACCACGGCAAAUAACGUAAUCCGUCAAAUCUCUCCCGUAGCGACUGAAGAUUCCUCAGCAGCUCUAGAUUCUGCUCUUUGACCUUCGCAAAGCCAAUUCCAGGGUCCAGAAUGAUCCGCCACCGCCGCACACCGGCGUUCUCCACAACUCUUAUUCGCUCCAUUAGUUCAUUGGCAACGCCGUCAACAACCCCGCUGCCCGUGCCAGUGCCAGUGCCACUACCAUGACCAGGCUUAUAUGCGCUAUAGUCGGUAAGUUUCAUCAUUGUCUGUGGCGUGCCGCGCAUGUGCAUAAGGAUCACCGUCUUCUGGAGUUUCGCCAUAGUAGCAGGCAUGUUAGGGUCCAGGGAGCCCCCAGACACAUCAUUGAUGAUAUCUGCUCCUGCAUUAACCGCCGCCUCCGCGACUGCAGCACGGUACGUGUCGAUGCUAAUGGCGACGCUGUUGGCUUCAGGGAGGGAGCGGAUAAGUCUUAUAGCAGGAAGAACUCGAGAGAGUUCCACUUCUUCGGUUACAGGGUCGCAGUCGGGGCGGGUGCUCUCGCCGCCUACAUCGAUUAUAGUAGCGCCAUCACGGAUGAACGUGCGGAUGGUCUCAGUGAAGGAUGCGAGGUCUGUGGGAGAGUGUUUUCCACCAUCGGAGAAGGAGUCUGGAGUUACAUUCAGGGUGGCCAUAAGGUGUGUUUUGCGUUUGGGGUCGGAAGCACAGAGGGGUGGUAAUUGUGGGGAUAGCGGGGUUACGGCAACCGGGGCGGGAUUUGAAGGGGGAAGAGAGUCGAGAUAUGAUUGAUAUGGGCG